rnacentral:rRNA from 1 species
CAGUCGACGCUUCUUUUUCCACCGGAGCUUGCUCCACCGGAAAAAGAGGAGUGGCGAACGGGUGAGUAACACGUGGGUAACCUGCCCAUCAGAAGGGGAUAACACUUGGAAACAGGUGCUAAUACCGUAUAACAAUCAAAACCGCAUGGUUUUGAUUUGAAAGGCGCUUUCGGGUGUCGCUGAUGGAUGGACCCGCGGUGCAUUAGCUAGUUGGUGAGGUAACGGCUCACCAAGGCCACGAUGCAUAGCCGACCUGAGAGGGUGAUCGGCCACAUUGGGACUGAGACACGGCCCAAACUCCUACGGGAGGCAGCAGUAGGGAAUCUUCGGCAAUGGACGAAAGUCUGACCGAGCAACGCCGCGUGAGUGAAGAAGGUUUUCGGAUCGUAAAACUCUGUUGUUAGAGAAGAACAAGGAUGAGAGUAACUGUUCAUCCCUUGACGGUAUCUAACCAGAAAGCCACGGCUAACUACGUGCCAGCAGCCGCGGUAAUACGUAGGUGGCAAGCGUUGUCCGGAUUUAUUGGGCGUAAAGCGAGCGCAGGCGGUUUCUUAAGUCUGAUGUGAAAGCCCCCGGCUCAACCGGGGAGGGUCAUUGGAAACUGGGAGACUUGAGUGCAGAAGAGGAGAGUGGAAUUCCAUGUGUAGCGGUGAAAUGCGUAGAUAUAUGGAGGAACACCAGUGGCGAAGGCGGCUCUCUGGUCUGUAACUGACGCUGAGGCUCGAAAGCGUGGGGAGCAAACAGGAUUAGAUACCCUGGUAGUCCACGCCGUAAACGAUGAGUGCUAAGUGUUGGAGGGU